GGAGAGAUGGCAGAGUGGUCUAAUGCGGCAGACUCGAAAUCUGUUGUCCUGCGUUUGCGGGACCGAGGGUUCGAAUCCCUCUCUCUCCG
rnacentral:tRNA from 1 species